ensembl:snoRNA
AUCCUUUUGUAGUUCAUGAGGAUGAUGAUUGGGUAUUUCACACAUGUGUGUGAAAUGUGCCACCCUCAAACCUUGUUACAAUGUCAGCAUAUUACCUGCCUGACC